ACUUCAUAUAGCAAACUUGGUGCCCGAAGUUUGGGGGAAAAGGGAAUCCAGUGAAAGUCUGGAGCGGUCCUCGCCACGGUAAGGAAAGAUGCAAAGGCCUCGGUGUUCAACCACCAGCCACUCGAUGAAAUCGGGGAAGGUGGUCUUUGCAAAUGAUUCCAAGUCCGGAGACCUGCCACGUUUGUGAGGCAAGA
rnacentral:ncRNA from 2 species